UCGUAACAACCGAGGCGCGAGGGCUGUCGCUGACCUGAACCCUCAGGUCGUGCACGCUCGAGCGUCCUCGUACAUCCAUCUCACCCCAAUGUGCACCACCGCGUGGGUCCCCCCUUUGGCUCGUUCGAAGGGGGGCUUGCGUUUUCACACAAACUUGUAUGCAGUCUAGAAUGUACCUUUGUUUUGCGAUCACGCAAUUAAUA
rnacentral:misc_RNA from 1 species